AGCCGCUUUAGGACAUGGAUCCCAAAGGAGCAAGAGGGACCAGGAAGCGCAGCUGAUCUGCACAGAGCCCUUUGCCUGCUGCUGCCCCACCGGGAACAGGGAGCUGCUGAGGAGCCACAUGGUCCAUCCCUGGAUUCUCCAAGCACUGAUUGCCCAUCCACUCUGACCACAGCCAGGGACCACAUCCCACUGCCUGCCCAGCAUCCAUCCAUGAAGGUCCUAGAGCACUGUUCCCCAAAUGCAUCCUUCCCAACACAGCUGUGACCCCAGAAUUCCCCCUGGCACCUGGUUCCUGCAUCCCACUGAGGUCUGAUAUCAAUAAACAGCACUGUGAACCCUGAGCUGCCUUUGCCCCCUCUGCCAGCGCUUCCCGGCUUCCUCUGGCUGCUGCUGCCAGCCGGGAAUGUGGCUGGAGGGAAGGGACAGAGAGGUAGUUAGCCAGGAAUUCUGUGACUGUUUAGAAAUUUCAUAAUGAACUAUGUUUAAUUGUUUUACUGUGGUUUUUUAGCUGGUUUUGAUUUAGAUCUGUGUUGGCUGAGUGUCAGUAGAAAACCCUAUUGAUCCAUACCCCUUAGAGAACUAAAUCAAUUGCUGGAGAAUAAAAUUCAAUAAACUAUUUUUAAUAGUUUUCAUAUAGAAAUUAAUGGUUUUGAUAACUAGAAAUUAAUUGGAUGUCAUAGAAUAAGAAUGAUAACUUGAGAGCAUUAGGAAUGUAGAGGUCUAAACACAACAGAAGACUUGAUUAAUAAAUUGCAAGAGAUAAAUUGCAAUGGCAAUAAGGGAGCCAUUUCCUCAUGCUUGUACGGCUCAGAAAACAUAACCAGUGGUCACUGUCUAACCAAGACAACAAAUUUAAUAAAGCAUUGUUUAGCUGGAAAAACCUGGGUUAUGCAUUAAACUAAGACCACACAUUCUAGUAAUAAUUAAAAGAAACAAAAUUAUACACUAUACCUUGGUGUAAGAAAUUGGGAGCACUUCUGGGUGUAUCUAUUAAAAAAUCUUGGAUAUUAUAGUCUGAAAUUGACCAGAUAAUAUCAGCUUUUGCAUUUAUGUAUUAGCCUAUGCGUGUUUUGAUAGAUUAUAAGUGUUUAUAAAUCAUAUCAAUUAUAACUCUUUUAACUGCAUGUAAGUAUAAUAUAAUCUAUCAUCUUAGGUAAGCGCUGUAUUACUCACAGAAAUAGUAGUUUAAUGAAUACAAUAUCUAUGUAUCACUUAUGGAAAUCAUUGUGUGAUGAAUGUAUUGUGUUACAGACCUUAGCAAAACAUAAGAUGUGAAAAAUGGUUUUGUGCAACUAAAAGCAGUGUAAGGCAUCCACUGACCAACCUGUCCAAGUGAUAACCAUGACUCAAACCAGAGCCCUGGAGGACAAUUAGAGAAUACCAUGUUAGAUUUAAGGAGGACGCAGUAAAAUCUCAUCAGGGGAUGUGAAACAGCAGCAUGGAGACUCAAGAAGAAAUAAAACACAUUGACUUGACACCCAGGAUGUCAUGCAGAUAAGCGGAAGUGUGAAAAAGUCAGGCAAAGGAGUUCCUAAAACAUCAGAAAGCUCACAAGACUGUUUGAAUAAUGCAUGAAACAUAUGAAUAUGCAUGUAUUUCAUCGAUGCAACUGGAUAAAAAUAACAUUGUCUGUAUACACAACACUCCCCACCUCCAUAUUCUUUGGCUGUUGACCAGGAGCA